AGAGAGAGACAUGCGCGCAUAUCAAUAAGCGGAGGAAAAGAAACUAACAAGGAUUCCCUUAGUAACGGCGAGUGAAGCGGGAAGAGCUCAAAUUUGAAAUCUUCAAGGUUUUACCUUGACGAAUUAUAGUUUAAAGAAGUGUUUUCUGCUGAAGUUUUGGUAAAAGUUCUUUGGAAUAGGACAUCAUAGAGGGUGAGAAUCCCGUAUUUGACCAUUAUUUUCAGCUUUGUGAUACACUUUCAAAGAGUCGGAUUGUUUGGGAAUGCAGUCCGAAAUGGGUGGUAAAUUUCAUCUAAAGCUAAAUAUUGGCGAGAGACCGAUAGCGAACAAGUACCGUGAGGGAAAGAUGAAAAGAACUUUGAAAAGAGAGUUAAACAGUACGUGAAAUUGUCAAAAGGGAAGCGUUUGACACCAGUGUUGUUUUCUCGAAAAUCAAUUAAAAAUGGCUCGAUUUUGUAUUGUUGAGACCUUAAAAGCUCACUGUACAUUUUUCGUGUCUUUUUUAAUGCACUUUUCGUUUAACAAGUCAACAUCAGUUUCUUUUGUUGUAAAAGGGUCAUUGGAGGGUGGCUUUCUUUUCGGAGAAAGUGUUUAUAGCCUUUGGCCUCUGCAAUCGGAAGAGACUGAGGUCUGCAGCGUAGACUCUUCGGGGUUAGAUACAUUUGUGCUAAGUUAUAGCCUUUCUAUAGACAACUUGUUGACUAUAAUCAGUCAUGUAGCUUACUCGCUUAUGCUAUUUUACCUACGCUUAGGAUGUUGAAGUCAUCGUACGCGC
rnacentral:rRNA from 1 species